AUCUGCCUGGAGCAUCCCUUUAAUUAUUUGUUUUGAUUGGUGGAGAAAUUCAGACAUAGGUUAUUGUGCAUAUAACAACUGAAACCCAAACCAGUUCUUAUUUUCCCACUGAUCACACCUGCUAAGAAGCAAAUUUCUCAUCUCGUGAGUCAGUAUAUCUGACUGCCUUGUUAGAGACGGCAUGUGAGGCAUACCGAGGCAUACCAGAUCACCGUUCCAAUGCUGUGUGAAAUAUGUUCA